GUAGGUGGCGAGCGUUGUCCGGAUUUACUGGGCGUAAAGAGCGCGCAGGCGGCUGGUCAAGUCCGAUGUGAAAGCUCCCGGCUUAACUGGGAAAUUGCAUCGGAAACUGAUCGGCUGGAAGGUGGGAGAGGGUAGCGGAAUUCCCGGUGUAGUGGUGAAAUGCGUAGAUAUCGGGAGGAACACCAGUGGCGAAAGCGGCUACCUGGCCCAUUCUUGACGCUGAGGCGCGAAAGCUAGGGGAGCAAACGGGAUUAGAUACCCCGGUAGUCCUAGCCGUAAACGAUGAACACUAGGCGUAGUCGGUAUCGACCCCGGCUGUGCCGCAGCUAACGCAUUAAGUGUUCCGCCUGGGGAGUACGGCCGCAWWGSUA
rnacentral:rRNA from 1 species